UACGUAGGGUGCGAGCGUUAUCCGGAUUUACUGGGCGUAAAGCGCCCGUAGGCGGCCUGACAAGUUGGACGUGAAAGCUCCUGGCUUAACUGGGAGAGGCCGUUCAAAACUGUCAAGCUAGAGUCUGGAAGAGGAGAGCGGAAUUCCCGGUGUAGUGGUGGAAUGCGUAGAGAUCGGGAGGAACACCAGUGGCGAAAGCGGCUCUCUGGUCCAAAACUGACGCUGAGGGGCGAAAGCGUGGGGAGCAAACAGG
rnacentral:rRNA from 1 species